ACGCAAUAGAUACCCGGGUAGUCCACGCCGUAAACGAUGAGUGCUAAGUGUUAGAGGGUUUCCGCCCUUUAGUGCUGCAGCUAAACGCAUUAAGCACUCCGCCUGGGGAGUACGGUCGCAAGACUGAAACUCAAAGGAAUUGACGGGGGCCCGCACAAGCGGUGGAGCAUGUGGUUUAAUUCGAAGCAACGCGAAGAACCUUACCAGGUCUUGACAUCCUCUGACAACUCUAGAGAUAGAGCGUUCCCCUUCGGGGGACAGAGUGACAGGUGGUGCAUGGUUGUCGUCAGCUCGUGUCGUGAGAUGUUGGGUUAAGUCCCGCAACGAGCGCAACCCUUGAUCUUAGUUGCCAGCAUUUAGUUGGGCACUCUAAGGUGACUGCCGGUGACAAACCGGAGGAAGGUGGGGAUGACGUCAAAUCAUCAUGCCCCUUAUGACCUGGGCUACACACGUGCUACAAUGGAUGGUACAAAGGGCUGCAAGACCGCGAGGUCAAGCCAAUCCCAUAAAACCA
rnacentral:rRNA from 1 species